CAGAUAUCGACUUUGCAUCUGCAAGAGCUAAGAAGAAGAGACUUGAUGAUGCUAUUUCUGGCUCAAGCCCUGAACAAAGCAAAUCUCCCUCCACAAAAAGGGUCUCCCCCUGAGAUUUAUCCCCUAGUCAGCAACCACCAGUCUCCCAAAGCCCAUCCUGGACUACCGAACACCAGACAGUCUGUCAGCCAGAGACCUGCAUGGUUUGUGUGAGCAGUUCAAGAUGCCAGAUCUGACCCCUGCUCCUAUAGUAGCCGUAGAGCGAGAGACCAGGAAGCAUGCAGCCUCAAGGAUAUGGUUCAGGCAGAGAGCAGGCCGGAUAACAGCGUCCAAGCUUAAACAAGCCAUUCGGACAAAUGCAGACAAGCCAGCAAAAAGCCUUAUCAAGGCAAUCUGUUAACCAGAAUCAAACAGAUUCUCUACUGCAGCUACAACGUAUGGAUGUAAGCAUGAGGCACAGGCACCGAAGGACUACGAAAAAAUUAUGAGAGUUACAUCACGGCUACUCUGUAGCAGAUUCUGGCCUUUGUCUCAAUGCAAAGUGGCCCUUCAUGGGAGCAUCACCAUAUGGGAUUGUUGUUUGCAGUUGUCACGGAACUGGAGUGUGUGAAAACAAGUGCCCACAUUGUCAUCAGGACAAGGAGAACAUCAGAGCUUGUGCGGGAGAAAAGGGAUUCUGCCUGGCGAAGGACGGUGACAAGAUAAAGCUGGACAGAUCACAUGCCUACUACUAUCAAAUUCAAGCACAGCUCUUUAUCUUGCAAGUAGACUACUGUGAUUUUAUUGUAUGGAACAAGAAUGACAUUUUUAUAGAGAGAAUUUUGCCUGACGUGGAGUUUUGGGAUAGCGUCAUCCCUAAGGAUGAAAGUUUUUCCGAAAUGUAUCCUCCCUGAAGUUUUGGCAAAGAAAUUCACCAAGCAAGUUUC